rnacentral:rRNA from 1 species
CACGUAGGGUGCGAGCGUUGUCCGGAAUUAUUGGGCGUAAAGAGCUCGUAGGCGGUGUGUCGCGUCGGCCGUGAAAACCUGCAGCUUAACUGUGGGCUUGCGGUCGAUACGGGCAGGCUCGAGUUCGGUAGGGGAGACUGGAAUUCCUGGUGUAGCGGUGAAAUGCGCAGAUAUCAGGAGGAACACCGGUGGCGAAGGCGGGUCUCUGGGCCGAUACUGACACUGAGGAGCGAAAGCGUGGGGAGCGAACAGG